rnacentral:rRNA from 1 species
UGAAAAGAAGAGAGGGGGACGACCUCGUCAGACGAACGCUGGCGGCGUGCCUAAUACAUGCAAGUUGAGCGCUGAAGGUUGGUACUUGUACCGACUGGAUGAGCAGCGAACGGGUGAGUAACGCGUGGGGAAUCUGCCUUUGAGCGGGGGACAACAUUUGGAAACGAAUGCUAAUACCGCAUAAAAACUUUAAACACAAGUUUUAAGUUUGAAAGAUGCAAUUGCAUCACUCAAAGAUGAUCCCGCGUUGUAUUAGCUAGUUGGUGAGGUAAAGGCUCACCAAGGCGAUGAUACAUAGCCGACCUGAGAGGGUGAUCGGCCACAUUGGGACUGAGACACGGCCCAAACUCCUACGGGAGGCAGCAGUAGGGAAUCUUCGGCAAUGGACGAAAGUCUGACCGAGCAACGCCGCGUGAGUGAAGAAGGUUUUCGGAUCGUAAAACUCUGUUGGUAGAGAAGAACGUUGGUGAGAGUGGAAAGCUCAUCAAGUGACGGUAACUACCCAGAAAGGGACGGCUAACUACGUGCCAGCAGCCGCGGUAAUACGUAGGUCCCGAGCGUUGUCCGGAUUUAUUGGGCGUAAAGCGAGCGCAGGUGGUUUAUUAAGUCUGGUGUAAAAGGCAGUGGCUCAACCAUUGUAUGCAUUGGAAACUGGUAGACUUGAGUGCAGGAGAGGAGAGUGGAAUUCCAUGUGUAGCGGUGAAAUGCGUAGAUAUAUGGAGGAACACCGGUGGCGAAAGCGGCUCUCUGGCCUGUAACUGACACUGAGGCUCGAAAGCGUGGGGAGCAAACAGGAUUAGAUACCCUGGUAGUCCACGCCGUAAACGAUGAGUGCUAGAUGUAGGGAGCUAUAAGUUCUCUGUAUCGCAGCUAACGCAAUAAGCACUCCGUCCUGGGAGAAGCCA